AGAUUGUGGUGAUUUAACAGUCACAAAGGCCACAUUGCAGGUGACUUAGCUUGUUAGUUGAGAUGAUCUGUGGACUUGGGUUUGGUGUUGGUUGGCUACUUUCGUGUAUUUUCUAUUUAGCAACAACUUCCGGUAUUGGUGGUACUGGGAAACUACUGGAGAUUUACAUAUGGGGGUGUUACUGACUUGACAGGCAGGCAGCAGGCCGGAAACAAGCUAAGGGAAAGGGCGGAAAUGGGUAGGGAAAAGGGCGGAAGUGGGUAGGGGAAAGGGCGGAAAUGGGAGGUAACCGGGAUAGGGAAAUACAGUAAACUGGGGUUUAAAUUACAUAAGGACUACACAUUUAACUGGGGAAAAGAACAUAGCAACUUGACCAAAGAACCAACAAACGAACAAGUGGAUAAAAUGAUAAGGUAAGCAACAACAAUCUUUUUAACUCUUUUAGCAACCUUUUAGCUAAGACUUUUUACCACACUUAGAACCUAGAAAUAAAAGAAACAGUGGGAGGGAUUACACUGAUUGAUGAAUGGAAAAAGAGAUUUGCCUUUACAAACAAACUGUAGGUUUGCUGGUAAAAGAAAUUGGGUAACAGAAGAUGAAAGAAGCAACGGGGGGGUGGGGGGGGGAGGAACUUUGAAUUCUACAAGAAUUAAAAAUUAAAAGGAAGGGUUAUACAUUAGAAGGGAAUGUCAGGUGUCAGGCGUUCUGGGAAGUCUGUGCCUCUCGAGUACCUCAGCCAAUGGGGAAAGAGAGAGGGAAAAGCGGCCGGGAAAUUAGGAUAGAAAGGGAGGCUGCGUCCUCCAAAAAUCCGAGAGAUCCCAGGGGAAUGCCCCAUGGCCUCUCCCUUUAUUCAAAUAAAGCAAAAAGGACUCCUCUGUCUCCUUUUUGGACAUAAACCUCUGGUGUUUGUGAAUUAACGAGCCCGGCCCGGCCCGGCCCCCCUCCAGAUGCGGUCUGGCUGGGCGGGGAUGUGGCAGCCCACCGAGACCCCCUCCCCCUGUUUUUGGCUGGGGGCCCUGGUGGCCGGGGGGGAGGGUUGAGGAGGCCUUUGCUGGGGUCCUGGCUCCCCCCCAGUGUGGCCACGACUCAGCCAGGGCUUCUGCCGCUGUUUUGGAAGCAGCCAGGAGGGGGAGAGGCCCCCAGCUGACCACGCAGCGUGGGGAGGUGCAGCUGGGCUUUGCAGUUUCAUCCGGCCUCCUCCACGCGGCCCGAGAAGCCCUGGCACAUUUUCCAGCAUAGCCUGGUCCAGCUCCUUCACCUUCUGGGUGAAAUUUUAACCCUUCUAAUGCCAGGAUAAGACUGCAGAUCUCCUGAGCUCCCCUGAAUGAGAGGAAUAAAGCAGAGAAUAUACUGAAGUCAGUGGAGUGAGAGCUAAGCUUCCAAAUGGGAAGAGAUUGAAGAGAUGCCACUGAUAAGUGGCUGAAAAAACUUUUUGUGGGCUAUGGGGGACUGGACUACACUGAAAUUCCUUUAAACUGUGAAAAACUACUUGGGGAGGGUUAAAGUGCUUGAGGAAAAAGAUCCUUUGCCCUGAGGGAAUGGGUCUGUCUCUGCUGGAGACUGGAAAGAUUUAAUGAAAAAAGAGAAGAAGAGAAUUUUGUCUUUGAACAGCUUGCCCUUAAAAGUAAUACCCCAUGUGUGUAGCGUAACCCAUAACACAGCUCUGGAAAGACUGUGAAGAUGGAAGAAAGUCCCACGGGCGGAUACGAAUUGUGAAAGUGAAGACACCCCCUAUGCCUAAACAAAAAAAAAGGAACUUUUCUCUCUAGAGUGAACUGAAAUGAUUAUUUAAGUGGAUAACUGGCUGAAGUGUUCUCUGUAUGUUGCUGUUAAGAAAUGUGGAAGAUGAGGGAGGGGGGAGGAGGGAAUGAUCUGGAAAUCUUAUACUGAAUUUUUUUUUCCUGUGUUAUUAAUAAAUUUCUUCUAUAUACCCUUUUAAGUUUUAGGCUUGCCUUGUCUUUGCUCCUAAAUCCUAUCUCUCAAAGAAAUUGAUUAUAUUAAAAUUGGCAAACCCAAAUCAAACCAAGACACCUAGCCAGCACCUGCAAUCUGGCUGCUUUAGAAUGUAAGCUGAGAUAAAUAUUCGUGUAGGACAGCAGCAGUGGAGUGUGCUGCAUUUAGUAAAUCAUAAAAAUCCCACGAUAACAGAAUGCGCUGAGUUGGAAAGGACACAUCAAAGUUAAGUCCAACUUGUGUCUCUGGACACCUGAAAAUUCCCACCACAUGCUGAAGGAGUUGUGCACACUUCUUAAACUCUGUCAGGCUUGGUGCUGUGACCAUUUCCCUAGGGAGCCUGUUCAGUGUCCAACUACCCUCUGGGUAGAAAACCUUUUCCUAAUACCCAACCUAACCUCUCCUAAAGUUCUAACCUCUCAGCUUCAUACCAUUGACUUAAAGCAGUCCUGGCUUUUGUGUAAAGUUUGCAAUGAUUUGCUAAGUCUUCUGUGAGUGCAAUGCCACAGAUAAAAGUAAAUAAAUGUGCUGUGCCAUGUGUUCUAAACACACCCUCCCUGAGCAGGGAGAGAAGACCAAAUGACCCACUGUGGUUCCUUCCAACCUGACACAUUCUGUAAUUCCCUGAUUCCUUGAAAUGUUUUAAUGUUUACAGGGGAAUGUGUGUAAAGCACAGUAGCAUCUAGUGCUCUGUAAGCACAUCAAACUGAUGUGGCUUAUCCUGAAAACUAAAUUAAUGCAGUAAAUGAGACAAUGCUGAAGCAAAAGUUAGCAGCAGCUGCCCCAAGUGAGGCAGCAUAGAAUAAACCUUAUAAGAAGAAUUUAAGAAACAGCAGUUAAAACUAAGAAAGAUCUCUGAAGUGUCUUGCUCCUGGCAGUGUGCAAGAAAAUAAGAAAUAGGAGAUGUUGUAUUAGCAUGACACACCUGCUACAUAUAAACUGUGAUGGCUAGUUUAAAAGAAAGUAACUUCAGCAGCUUUUGUACGGUAGUUAAAAUUCUAAGCAAUUAGGGCUGUUAAAUUAUCAUUUUUAAUGUUGUUUUAUGUAUAUUUAUUUACUAUUUCAAAUGUUUUUAGCCUCAGUACUUGGGUUACCUGCCUGUUUUGUGUACAAACAAAAACACUAGCAGCGGACUUUGAGCUUUUGCAUUUGAGAAAAAAUACUUCCACUCCAAACAAGAAGAUCAAGACUGUUUCAGUCAGAAAGUUCUCAUAUUGUGGCCUUAACCUGUGACUUAUAUAAUAACUUGGCUUUAUAAAUGGGAAUUUCUAGUACCUGUUGAAUGGAAAAUACCUAAGAAACAGUAAAAAUCUACAUCUGAGAAGUUUACUUGGUAGCCACCAAUUUGGGAGAAGAAGGGUGGGCUCUAUUGGCAUACCAAAGUUGCACAGUAGGAGAAGCAUACCUCUGUUUCACGAAAGAAUGUAUGUGGGGAUAUUCAGAUCAGGGAGGAGUUCAAGGUUACUACAAGGAGGAAUUAAUAAAGAAUAUAACUAAAGUGUUCAAGGGAACAAGGACAAACCAUGAGGGAAGUUUUAACUUGUAUAAAAAAUUAAAACAACAACUCAGCAAACCGGACUUACCCAUCUUGGGAAAAAAAAUUAUUUAUGGAAUUAGUGAAAGAAAUUACUACCAAACUGAACUUAACUCACUGUUGAAUCUGCAGGAAAAGAUGGAAAGGGACAUGUACCAAAAAGAUGGAAAGGGACAUGUACUCUAGGGAUUAUCCAUCCUGCAUUUUUACGUUGCCAAAAAGAAAAAGGUAAUAAAGUCUUAGGAGCUCGCUUGUAUGAAACUUUGUAUCAAAACAAAAAGAGCCCCUGCAGAGGGGGACCCCAAAUCUAAAAAGAUGAUGAGUGGGUCUGUCGCACUCCAAUUUAUAUGCUAAAUAGAAUUAUCAGGCUACAAGCCGUAGUAAAAAUUACAUCCAACCAAACAGCCCGAGCAAUGGAAGUGAUAGCUAAACAACUUACUCCAACUAGAGCAGCAGUAUAUCAAAAUCGACUAGCCCUAUACUAUCUAUUAGCUGAAGAAGAAGGAGUGUGUGGGAAGUUCAACAAUUCUGAAUGAUGCUAAGUAAUUAAUAAAAAUGGUGAAGUAAUUACUAAAAUUACAGAAGAAAUAAAACAAAUAACCCAUGUACCUGUACAAACACUUACAAAGUAGUUCAAACCACUGUAAUGAAUUCAGGCCAAGACACAUAUCCACCUAGAUGUGAACCACUGUUGGGAGUUGAGUGUUUUUCUAUUACUGUGUCAAUUUAAAGAAUUUUUCCCAUUAUCAUGCUAGCGGAACUUGCCGGGUUACACCCAGGAUCUUUGACGAGUUUAGACAAAAGGAGUAGGUGGGAGCGGCUUCCAGAGGGGCUACUCAUGUUUCUGGAGGGGUUACUCGUGUUUCCGGCAAGUUUCCGGAGGAGGACCCCCCCUCUUCAGCCACGCGGCCGAAUUCAGGAGAGCCAUACCCUCUGCGAUCACCUGCCCUGCAUCUCUCCCCCGUUCCAGCCUCCGACCUCUGCGGACACAGCUAAUCACCCAGACACAAACGGUGAGCGAGGAGCUGCCCUCCAGCCGCUCCCACCUGAGACCGGCGUGGCCGCUGCCGCCCCCUCCCACCUCCGCUCCCGCCCGCUUCUCUGCAGCUGCUGGGCUUUGUCUGGAGCACCGGGACCGAGUGCAGAGAGAGUGUGCCUGCAGCUAAAGAAAGGACUGGAACCGAGUUAGCUGUUCGGUUUUGUUGGGACAUAUCACCAUCUGCUCGAGUACCCGGGAAUCCUGAGCCCACCUCUCCCUCCUGUGCUAGGAGCCGACCAUCGCUGCCCCAGCCCCGCCGCUCCUUCGGCACCGCUCUGGGUCUCUCUACGCUGUAGCCCCGCACCUCCCUGCCCUGCUGGGACGUCUGGCAGUUCCAACAGUUGCCACGAAGUUUCUGAUACAUCUCGCCCACCAGACCGGGAUCUUUUGCUCAUUCCUGCCGUUCCAUCUUAGUGCUCUUCAGGGCACUAAGUUCUGCAGGGGCACUGGGAUCGACUGCCCCAGGGCUUUGUGAAGCAAAUCCUCUCCUCCCUCCUUUCUCGUCUUGGCCGAGAAGGCUGUCAGAAGGUCCCUGGUUCUGUUUGUUAUUGAUUCCAUACUUGUUAUUGUUUUUGUUUGCUUUGUUAUACUAGUAAAGAACUGGUAUUACCAUCCUCA